CUCCUAGCAGUGCGAAGUUCUCCAGCCUCUUUUCCUUCCGGUCGCCGUCAUAGCCUCCUUACCGCGGUGACAUCCAGUCGCUUCAUUUCCGUUAGGUUUUUGGGUUGUAGUGAUGGUGGAGGAAAGUGGGAGGAGGAAGAGGCCAAACAUUCUGGUGACAGGUACCCCAGGGACGGGGAAGACUACGACAUGUACUGCUCUAGCUGAAGCCACAAAACUUCGCCACAUGAAUGUUGGGGAUUUAGUCAGAGACGAGAACUUACAUGAUGGCUGGGAUGAUGAGCUUGAUUGUUUUGUCCUUAAUGAAGACUUGGUCUGUGAUGAGCUUGAGGAUCAAAUAGAAGAAGGGUGAAUUAUAUGGAUUAUCAUGGGUGUGAUUUCUGCCAAUGAUAUUUAAAUAUCAAUCCCGCUACGUUACCAACACCAUUUCUGCCAA